rnacentral:lncRNA from 1 species
UGUGUACUUACUUGAAAUCAGUACCUUUUCUUUGGUUGCCACAGAGAUGUUCCAGCCAGUAUUCUUCAGUGGCCCAGGUGACAAUUCCUGUUGUAGUUCCAGUUGCUCCAGUCUCUUAGAAUUAACUGCUCACUCUGAUGCAUAUCUGAUCACUGUGAUGCAUGGCUGAAAAGCCAGUUCAUGAUCUCCAAGCUGCCAAUAUUGGCAUGAUUGCCAUCCAUAUACAUUGCCUUAGUUUUCU